CGGGGCGUCUCGGAGACCCUAGUCUUCACCCGGCCCACGAGCCUGGCAAGUCCACCGACCGAUCCCUAAGCCGGGUCUUUCUCUUGGAAACCUCGUCAGCAUCCUGCCUGACGUCUUAUGAGAUUUAUUAAAGCCCUAAGAACAACGAGGCUGAUAUCUGAGAUACUCAUUGAAGGCCCGGGAGAAUUAGGUACAGAUGAUGGCACUGUUGAAAAAUCACAAACGAAGCCAAUUUGAGCAAGAACUGUGUUGGUCCUUGGAGCGGGCUGGAGGCCCUUGGGUGAGAAAAACAGCCACAUCCAGGAUUGGGAGGAUUUACUACUUCCAAAGACAGAUAAAUUAAUAGAAAUUGCAAAAGAUAUAAAAGUAUGGGGUGGACAGGUUUAUUACUGUACACGGUGAUUUUCUUUUUUAACGUGCUGUAACUUGUAGCCAUUUUUAUUAAUGGGCCAAUCUAAACAGGGUUGAAAGAUUAACUGUGACUCCACCCCAAGUCACAAUAGGAUCCUGUACUUCUCUUUUUAUAGCUGUGAAGACUGGGAAUCAUUCUUGGCUCAGUGUAAUGUUUAUAAGGCAUGGCUCAUCUCAUUGAAUGAAAUUUUUUAAAAAAGAGUUUGAAGUUUGAGUUUAUGAUAGCAAUAAAAGUACUCUAUAUUCCUGGAUUAAAGUUGCUUUAAUUAAUGAGAAAAGUAAGCCAGCCAAAAGAAACUGGUGACAAUUUAAGAAGAGUAUUGAAAAACCACUGCAAUACUUGCCAGGGCCAUGCCACUCUACAGUUCAAACAUUUGCACACCCAAUUCGUUUAACCUUCACAACACUCAUGUGAGGGCAGCAUAGAGGCUGUCCUUAUUUUAUGGAUGAGAAAACCAAAGCUCAAAGAAACUAAGUGAUGGUCCAGGUUCUCAUAAGAACCGAGUGGUUGAGAAGACCUCUGGAACCAGCAGCCAUCCUAACUGCAUGGACUGAACUUUGAAAGACUAUUGCUCAGCACUCUUCACCUUAUCCAUUCAGAUAAGAUCACGAAGAUGGACGAAUAUGCUGAGCUGACUCAUUCCCCUCAGUAUAGAGCAGUCAUCUUCGUGGUGACAUUCAUCCUGACGAUGCUAAACAGGAACGGGAAGCUCAACUGUUCCUGCUUGCGUAGGAACAGGAUGAGGAAGAUGUCUCAGGAUAUUUCUUACCCUCCUCUCUCCACCUCUGUGAACAUCUCCCACUCCCAAUGUCCACAAUCUGCUCUUCUUUGCUUAAAAAAAUUCAGACCAUCCCCUAAAGCUCACCUCUUCCAUGAAAGCUUCUUUGGCCCCUCCAGCACACACUAAUUUUUUC
rnacentral:lncRNA from 1 species